UUUAGAAACAGUAUAUUUUAAGCACAUUUUGAAAGUAUAUGGGGUGUACAAAUGUAUAUUAUUUUAUGGAGAAAUAACGUGGGCUUAAAAUUACGAGAGAGCAGUAUGUUCUGUUACAUUUUAUAUUGUAGAUGUAUACAUUUGUAAUAUACUAUUAACAUAAUAAGGUACACUUUAACUUCACUAUAGUCAAGCAUUGGAUAAACCAAUGAACUGUGUUUUACCACAAAAUAACCAUGGUUUUGCUAAUAAUAAUCAAUACACCAAAAAAAAAAAACAUGGUUACUAAACUUUUACCACAAAAAAAAACAUUAAUUUUCGUAAGGGGAAUAUGAGUGUUUGUUUUUUUUGUAGUUUUUGAGUCAAUUGCAUACCGCUUUUAGCUGUACACAUUAAUUAACUUAAACAGUUUUCGUAAAUGCAUUUCAGAGAAAAGUGAAUUCUGAGAUUUGAAUAAUGCAUCUGACGUGUGGGAUGACGUCACGACGCACGUAUUUUGAUUUUUACCAGUCGUUCAAGACAGACGGAUUCAGUCCCAAGAAGCUAAAGUUUUUCAAAGACAUUUGUAGGGAGGACUUUGCAGCUAAUGAUUUCCUAAGGCUGAACCAAAACCUGCCAGACUAAAGUUGAUUUGGGAGAGAAAGACGUUGUAAACUUAAUCAUCUUGACAUUCUUCAAUGAGUAAUUGUUCAAUUUUUAGGCAAAUACUGUACACUUUGAAUGCUGUGAAUAAAACUAUAUUUUAAAUAUAUUUAAAAUGAA